AUACCUUUCUCGGCCUUUUGGCUAAGAUCAAGUGUAGUAUCUGUUCUUAUCAGUUUAAUAUCUGAUAUGUGAGGCAUGUCCUCACAACGAUAUUAAAUUUAUUUUUUGUGGGGGAAGAUCCAUAAAAGUAGCUUGCUACUUGGAUCUUCUUCACGUGUCGCCCUAACGUUGCACUACUGCUAGGGCCUGGCGCACCCCAA
rfam:Brachypodium distachyon strain Bd21 chromosome 4, whole genome shotgun sequence.